rnacentral:rRNA from 1 species
CUACGCCUACAUGAAGCUGGAGUUACUAGUAAUCGCAGAUCAGAAUGCUGCGGUGAAUGCGUUCCCGGGUCUUGUACACACCGCCCGUCACACCACGGAAGUUGGGGGCGCCCGAAGCCACUUAGCUAACCCUUUUGGGAAGCGAGUGUCGAAGGUGAAAUCAAUAACUGGGGUGAAGUCGUAACAAGGUAAC